CUACGGGGGGCAGCAGUGGGGAAUAUUGGACAAUGGGGGAAACCCUGAUCCAGCAAUGCCGCGUGUGUGAAGAAGGCCUGCGGGUUGUAAAGCACUUUCGGUUGGGAGGACUGCUUCUAGCACUAAUAUUGUUGGAAGUUGACGUUACCUUCAGAAGAAGCACCGGCUAACUCCGUGCCAGCAGCCGCGGUAAUACGGAGGGUGCAAGCGUUAAUCGGAAUUACUGGGCGUAAAGCGCGCGUAGGCGGCUAGAUCAGUCGGGUGUGAAAGCCCCGGGCUUAACCUGGGAACUGCAUCCGAUACUGUCUAGCUUGAGUACAGGAGAGGAGAGGGGAAUUCCACAUGUAGCGGUGACAUGCGUAGAUAUGUGGAGGAACACCAAUGGCGAAGGCAGCUCUCUGGCCUGAUACUGACGCUGAGGUGCGAAAGCGUGGGGAUCAAACAGGAUUAGAUACCCCAGUAGUC
rnacentral:rRNA from 1 species